AGGAACACUUGCCUUACCUAAAAUCAGCCUGCAGUUCUUGACACUACAUGAUUACCUGCUGAGAAACUUCAAUUUAUUCAGACUAGAAUCUACAUUGAAAUGUAUGCAGUGCAACUGUAAUGGUAAUGAGAUGCAGGUCUUUGUCCUACAUGAUGAGGGAAACAUAGUGUAUGGCAGUUUUGGAAAACAUUGUUAAAUAGCAGUGAGGCGAAAUGGCUACAAGCCAUGGACUUCAGAAGAGAAAGCCUGUAUUCUACAUGCUGUAUUGAGGGAACAAUAUUGGAUUUUCAGAUUUUAUGCAAAUGAUAGAAAACAUUUAACAAGUUUAUACUGGGUACUGAACAAUAUGGUGUACAGAAGUUUGGAUUGUUUUGGCUGGAUAGUUUGUACAGUAUGGUGAAACUAGAGGAUGAAAGCUCACAUACAAGUAGCAAGUCCUCAGUUUCUAGUUAGGAUGAGUUGACAGUGUUUGUACAAGAGAAUGCCUUGUCAAGGUUUGUGAUUGGUCAGUGUCAUCUGAACAUGUCUAACACCACAGUCCAUAGAGUACAGAAACUUCUCUCUGCUGCAUACAACUAUGACUGUGAGCCUUACUCAA
rnacentral:lncRNA from 1 species